rnacentral:rRNA from 1 species
AUUGAACGCUGGCGGAAUGCUUUACACAUGCAAGUCGGGCGGCAGCACGGGGGCAACCCUGGUGGCGAGCGGCGAACGGGUGAGUAACACAUCGGAACGUACCCUAUCGUGGGGGAUAACGGAUCGAAAGAUUCGCUAAUACCGCAUACGACCUGAGGGUGAAAGCGGGGGAUCGCAAGACCUCGCGCGAUAGGAGCGGCCGAUGGCGGAUUAGCUAGUUGGUGGGGUAAAGGCUCACCAAGGCGACGAUCCGUAGCGGGUCUGAGAGGACGGCCCGCCACACUGGAACUGAGACACGGUCCAGACUCCUACGGGAGGCAGCAGUGGGGAAUUUUGGACAAUGGGGGGCAACCCUGAUCCAGCCAUUCCGCGUGAGUGAAGAAGGCCUUCGGGUU